CCGAGUCAGGGUCUCUCAGGCCCGAAACUCCAACCCUAUGUCUAUUUACCAUGUUGCUUUGGCAGGCCCGCCUUAACCGGCCGCUGGAGAUUUACGUCUCUCGCCAGUGCCUGUCAGUAGCCCCCACAAAUUCUUUAUAACAGUGAUGUCUGAGUACAAAUAUAAUCGUUAAA
rnacentral:misc_RNA from 1 species